UACGGGGGGGGGCAAGCGUUGUUCGGAAUUACUGGGCGUAAAGGGCUCGUAGGUGGCCAACUAAGUCAGACGUGAAAUCCCUCAGCUUAACUGGGGAACUGCGUCUGAUACUGGAUGGCUUGAGUUCGGGAGAGGGAUGCGGAAUUCCAGGUGUAGCGGUGAAAUGCGUAGAUAUCAGGAGGAACACCGGUGGCGAAGGCGGGUCUCUGGGCCGAUACUGACGCUGAGGUGCGAAAGCGUGGGGAGCAAACAGG
rnacentral:rRNA from 1 species